rnacentral:tRNA from 1 species
GGGAAAGUAGCUCAGUAGCAGAGCACUUGCCUUGCAUGCAUGAGGCUCUGGGUUCUAUCCUCAGCACCA